rnacentral:rRNA from 1 species
UUAAAUUGAAGAGUUUGAUCAUGGCUCAGAUUGAACGCUGGCGGCAGGCCUAACACAUGCAAGUCGAACGGUAACAGGAAGCAGCUUGCUGCUUUGCUGACGAGUGGCGGACGGGUGAGUAAUGUCUGGGAAACUGCCUGAUGGAGGGGGAUAACUACUGGAAACGGUGGCUAAUACCGCAUAACGUCGCAAGACCAAAGAGGGGGACCUUCGGGCCUCUUGCCAUCAGAUGUGCCCAGAUGGGAUUAGCUUGUUGGUGAGGUAACGGCUCACCAAGGCGACGAUCCCUAGCUGGUCUGAGAGGAUGACCAGCCACACUGGAACUGAGACACGGUCCAGACUCCUACGGGAGGCAGCAGUGGGGAAUAUUGCACAAUGGGCGCAAGCCUGAUGCAGCCAUGCCGCGUGUAUGAAGAAGGCCUUCGGGUUGUAAAGUACUUUCAGCGGGGAGGAAGGUGUUGUGGUUAAUAACCGCAGCAAUUGACGUUACCCGCAGAAGAAGCACCGGCUAACUCCGUGCCAGCAGCCGCGGUAAUACGGAGGGUGCAAGCGUUAAUCGGAAUUACUGGGCGUAAAGCGCACGCAGGCGGUCUGUCAAGUCGGAUGUGAAAUCCCCGGGCUCAACCUGGGAACUGCAUUCGAAACUGGCAGGCUUGAGUCUUGUAGAGGGGGGUAGAAUUCCAGGUGUAGCGGUGAAAUGCGUAGAGAUCUGGAGGAAUACCGGUGGCGAAGGCGGCCCCCUGGACAAAGACUGACGCUCAGGUGCGAAAGCGUGGGGAGCAAACAGGAUUAGAUACCCUGGUAGUCCACGCCGUAAACGAUGUCUACUUGGAGGUUGUGCCCUUGAGGCGUGGCUUCCGGAGCUAACGCGUUAAGUAGACCGCCUGGGGAGUACGGCCGCAAGUUAAAACUCAAAUGAAUUGACGGGGGCCCGCACAAGCGGUGGAGCAUGUGGUUUAAUUCGAUGCAACGCGAAGAACCUUACCUGGUCUUGACAUCCACGGAAGUUUUCAGAGAUGAGAAUGUGCCUUCGGGAACCGUGAGACAGGUGCUGCAUGGCUGUCGUCAGCUCGUGUUGUGAAAUGUUGGGUUAAGUCCCGCAACGAGCGCAACCCUUAUCCUUUGUUGCCAGCGGUCCGGCCGGGAACUCAAAGGAGACUGCCAGUGAUAAACUGGAGGAAGGUGGGGAUGACGUCAAGUCAUCAUGGCCCUUACGACCAGGGCUACACACGUGCUACAAUGGCGCAUACAAAGAGAAGCGACCUCGCGAGAGCAAGCGGACCUCAUAAAGUGCGUCGUAGUCCGGAUUGGAGUCUGCAACUCGACUCCAUGAAGUCGGAAUCGCUAGUAAUCGUGGAUCAGAAUGCCACGGUGAAUACGUUCCCGGGCCUUGUACACACCGCCCGUCACACCAUGGGAGUGGGUUGCAAAAGAAGUAGGUAGCUUAACCUUCGGGAGGGCGCUUACCACUUUGUGAUUCAUGACUGGGGUGAAGUCGUAACAAGGUAACCGUAGGGGAACCUGCGGUUGGAUCACCUCCUUACCUUAAAGAAGC